UACGUAGGGUGCAAGCGUUGUCCGGAAUCAUUGGGCGUAAAGAGCGUGUAGGCGGCUCGAUCAGUCCGCUGUGAAAGUCCAGGGCUCAACCCUGGAAAGCCGGUGGAUACUGUCGGGCUAGAGUACGGAUGAGGCGAGUGGAAUUCCUGGUGUAGCGGUGAAAUGCGCAGAUAUCAGGAGGAACAUCAAUGGCGAAGGCAGCUCGCUGGGACGAUACUGACGCUGAGACGCGAAAGCGUGGGGAGCAAACAGG
rnacentral:rRNA from 1 species